rnacentral:rRNA from 1 species
GUGGGGAAUAUUGGACAAUGGGCGCAAGCCUGAUCCAGCCAUGCCGCGUGAGUGAUGAAGGCCUUAGGGUUGUAAAGCUCUUUUGUCCGGGAAGAUAAUGACUGUACCGGAAGAAUAAGCCCCGGCUAACUUCGUGCCAGCAGCCGCGGUAAUACGAAGGGGGCUAGCGUUGUUCGGAAUCACUGGACGUAAAGCGCACGUAGGCGGACCAUUAAGUCAGGGGUGAAAGCCUGGAGCUCAACUCCAGAACUGCCUUUGAUACUGAUGGUCUCGAGUAUGGAAGAGGUUGGUGGAACUGCGAGUGUAGAGGUGAAAUUCGUAGAUAUUCGCAAGAACACCGGUGGCGAAGGCGGCCAACUGGUCCAUUACUGACGCUGAGGUGCGAAAGCGUGGGGAGCAAACAGGAUUAGAUACCCGAGUAGUCC